rnacentral:rRNA from 1 species
AGCAUCCUACGGGAGGCAGCAGUGGGGAAUAUUGCACAAUGGGUGCAAGCCUGAUGCAGCCAUGCCGCGUGUAUGAAGAAGGCCUUCGGGUUGUAAAGUACUUUCAGCAGUGAGGAAGGUGGAUAUGUUAAUAGCAUAUUCAUUUGACGUUAGCUGCAGAAGAAGCACCGGCUAACUCCGUGCCAGCAGCCGCGGUAAUACGGAGGGUGCGAGCGUUAAUCGGAAUUACUGGGCGUAAAGCGCAUGCAGGUGGUUUGUUAAGUCAGAUGUGAAAGCCCGGGGCUCAACCUCGGAAUUGCAUUUGAAACUGGCAAACUAGAGUACUGUAGAGGGGGUAGAAUUUCAGGUGUAGCGGUGAAAAUGCGUAGAGAUCUGAAGGAAUACCGGUGGCGAAGGCGGCCCCCUGGACAGAUACUGACACUCAGAUGCGAAAGCGUGGGGAGCAAACAGGAUUAGAUACCCUGGUAG